rnacentral:rRNA from 1 species
GACGAACGCUGGCGGCGUGCUUAACACAUGCAAGUCGAACGGUGAAGCGCCUUCCUUUUUGGUGGGUGUGGAUGAGUGGCGAACGGGUGAGUAACACGUGAGUAACCUGCCCCCUUCUUCUGGAUAACCGCAUGAAAGUGUGGCUAAUACGGGAUAUUCUGGGUCUGUCGCAUGAUGGGUCUGGGAAAGAUAUUGUUUCGGUGGGGGAUGGGCUCGCGGCCUAUCAGCUUGUUGGUGGGGUGAUGGCCUACCAAGGCGGUGACGGGUAGCCGGCCUGAGAGGGUGGACGGUCACACUGGGACUGAGACACGGCCCAGACUCCUACGGGAGGCAGCAGUGGGGAAUAUUGCACAAUGGGCGCAAGCCUGAUGCAGCGACGCCGCGUGAGGGAUGGAGGCCUGCGGGUUGUGAACCUCUUUCGCCAGUGAAGCAGGCCUGCCUCGUUUGUGGGUGGGUUGACGGUAGCUGGAUAGGAAGCGCCGGCUAACUACGUG